rnacentral:rRNA from 1 species
UACGAAGGGUGCAAGCGUUGUUCGGAUUUACUGGGCGUAAAGCGUCCGUAGGUGGUUUGUUAAGUCAGAGGUGAAAUCCCAGGGCCUAACCCUGGAACUGCCUUUGAUACUGGCAGGCUGGAGCGUAAUAGAGGAAGAUGGAACAUCUGGUGUAGGGGUGAAAUCCGUAGAUAUCAGAUAGAACACCAAUGGCGAAGGCAGUCUUCUGGAUCAUCGCUGACACUGAGGGACGAAAGCGUGGGUAGCAAAC